UACGUAGGGUCCGAGCGUUGUCCGGAAUUAUUGGGCGUAAAGGGCUCGUAGGCGGUUUGUCGCGUCGGGAGUGAAAACCUACAGCUUAACUGUGGGCUUGCUUUCGAUACGGGCAGACUUGAGGCAUGCAGGGGAGAACGGAAUUCCUGGUGUAGCGGUGAAAUGCGCAGAUAUCAGGCAGAACACCUGGGGCGAAGGCGGCCAGCUGGGCCGUCCCUGACGCUGAGGCGCGAAGGCGUGGGGAGCGAACGGG
rnacentral:rRNA from 1 species